rnacentral:pre_miRNA from 1 species
GUUAUACUCCCUCCGUCCACAAUUACUUGUCACAUAAAUGGAUAAAAAUGGAUGUAUCUAGAACUAAAAUACAUCUAGAUACAUCCAUUCUUGUGACAAAUAUUUCCGGACAGAGGGAGUACAUC